GACGAACGCUGGCGGCGUGCUUAACACAUGCAAGUCGAACGAUGAACCGAGAGCUUGCUCUUGGGGAUUAGUGGCGAACGGGUGAGUAACACGUGAGUAACCUGCCCUGGACUCUGGGAUAACCCCGAGAAAUCGGAGCUAAUACCGGAUAGGACCCUGUACCGCAUGGUGUGGGGUGGAAAGUUUUUUCGGUCUGGGAUGGACUCGCGGCCUAUCAGCUUGUUGGUGAGGUAAUGGCUCACCAAGGCGUCGACGGGUAGCCGGCCUGAGAGGGGGACCGGCCACACUGGGACUGAGACACGGCCCAGACUCCUACGGGAGGCAGCAGUGGGGAAUAUUGCACAAUGGGCGCAAGCCUGAUGCAGCAACGCCGCGUGCGGGAGGACGGCCUUCGGGUUGUAAACCGCUUUUAGUAAGGAAGAAGGUGCUUCGGCCUUGACGGUACUUGCAGAAAAAGGACCGGCUAACUACGUGCCAGCCGCCGCCGUAACAC
rnacentral:rRNA from 1 species